rnacentral:lncRNA from 1 species
CAGGCCUCAAACAACCACCACAGCCGGAGAACCCAGGUUUAAGAUUCUGUUCACUAAGUGGAAGAAAGGAGUCUUGAAACCUCAUCCUACGUAUGGAUGUUGUGGGUAAUCCAGGGUCAUACUAACAGCUGCUGGAAAGUGUGACUAUCCCAGCCCCCCUCUGCUCUGAAUUUGACCAUCCGGAGAAGAGUGACUCUGUGGCCAAACACCAGUCUCACGUUGCCUCUCUGGAGAAUGCUUGAGGAAGCAAAAUUGUGUGAUGACUUGAGACGGGUUGAGACAGCAGUUGCAGCUGUCAACAAUAAAUGUGUUCUACCUCCUCACAUGGAAUUACGACAUCUAGAAUGCAGUCUACACAUGCAUUGAAGUAUAGUGAAGGAAGAUAUGUCUUUGAAUUCUACGACUAGGGAUGAUGCACUGUGUGAUCAUCCAUCCAGAUUCCGGAUGAGAAAGUAUUUGUGCAGCCAUCAACACAGAGUGCAGUCUACAUUCGCCUAGAGUGCAGUCUACAUAUUCAUUCAACUAUAGUGGACUGCUGUGCUGCGUGAGACCAGAUGGACAGAGGCUGAAGCAUUGGAUGUAAUGAAAAUAAUGUUUUUUUAAUUAAUUGUACUGUUGAAAUAAAGUGAGGAUGUUUACACAAUUUGACUGACUAAAUCAUUCUAAUGGGGGAAAUUUGAAGUCAG